rnacentral:rRNA from 1 species
ACGCUCGACACCUACGGGAGGCGGCAGUAGGGAAUCUUCCACAAUGGACGCAAGUCUGAUGGAGCAACGCCGCGUGAGUGAAGAAGGUCUUCGGAUCGUAAAACUCUGUUGUUAGAGAAGAACACGAGUGAGAGUAACUGUUCAUUCGAUGACGGUAUCUAACCAGCAAGUCACGGCUAACUACGUCNCGCAGCCGCGGUAAUCUGAGCGGGCGUGGCGAAGGC